CGUAAACGAUGAGUGCUAAGUGUUAGGGGGUUUCCGCCCCUUAGUGCUGCAGCUAACGCAUUAAGCACUCCGCCUGGGAGUACGACCGCAAGGUUGAAACUCCAAAGGAAUUGACGGGGACCCGCACAAGCGGUGGAGCAUGUGGUUUAAUUCGAAGCAACGCGAAGAACCUUACCAAAUCUUGACAUCCUUUGACCGCUCUAGAGAUAGAGUCUUCCCCUUCGGGGGACAAAGUGACAGGUGGUGCAUGGUUGUCGUCAGCUCGUGUCGUGAGAUGUUGGGUUAAGUCCCGCAACGAGCGCAACCCUUAAGCUUAGUUGCCAUCAUUAAGUUGGGCACUCUAAGUUGACUGCCGGUGACAAACCGGAGGAAGGUGGGGAUGACGUCAAAUCAUCAUGCCCCUUAUGAUUUGGGCUACACACGUGCUACAAUGGACAAUACAAAGGGCAGCUAAACCGCGAGGUCAAGCAAAUCCCAUAAAGUUGUUCUCAGUUCGGAUUGUAGUCUGCAACUCGACUACAUGAAGCUGGAAUCGCUAGUAAUCGUAGAUCAGCAUGCUACGGUGAAUACGUUCCCGGGUCUUGUACACACCGCCCGUCACACCACGAGAGUUUGUAACACCCGAAGCCGGUGGAGUAACCAUUUAUGGAGCUAGCCGUCGAAGGUGACAAAGACUGG
rnacentral:rRNA from 1 species